AAAAAAUACUGCAGUAUUUUUAUUACGAUUGCGAAAGAAAGCAAGACCCGCACCUAUCAUUUUGCUUUCUUCGUCUCUUCAUUGUCAUCUUCUCUUUUGAGUCCUUCGAAAUUCAAAGCAAUUUGGGUGUAAAUGGUGUCGUUUACACGCUUAUUUGAUUUGCUUUUCUGUACGAUUAAUCUGGUAUUCUCUACCUUUGCGUUUAUUGCCAUUUUUGUACAUCUAAUCUAACCUUCACGCAACCUUUUUGCUUUUCAAUGCUUCAAUUUUUCUGUCUCUUUCUCCCGAAUUUAGUUUCAUGUCUGCUCAAAUUAUUUCCCUUUUUGGCUCUUAUUGCCUUAUGUUUCUAGAUUUUAUUUUUUCUUGAUUCAUU
rnacentral:misc_RNA from 1 species